rnacentral:rRNA from 1 species
AACGCUAGCUACAGGCUUAACACAUGCAAGUCGAGGGGAAACGACAUCGAAAGCUUGCUUUUGAUGGGCGUCGACCGGCGCACGGGUGAGUAACGCGUAUCCAACCUGCCCAUCACUUGGGGAUAACCUUGCGAAAGUAAGACUAAUACCCAAUGACGUCUCUAGAAGACAUCUGAAGGAGAUUAAAGAUUUAUCGGUGAUGGAUGGGGAUGCGUCUGAUUAGCUUGUUGGCGGGGUAACGGCCCACCAAGGCGACGAUCAGUAGGGGUUCUGAGAGGAAGGUCCCCCACAUUGGAACUGAGACACGGUCCAAACUCCUACGGGAGGCAGCAGUGAGGAAUAUUGGUCAAUGGACGAGAGUCUGAACCAGCCAAGUAGCGUGCAGGAUGACGGCCCUAUGGGUUGUAAACUGCUUUUAUAAGGGAAUAAAGUGAGAGUCGUGACUCUUUUUGCAUGUACCUUAUGAAUAAGGACCGGCUAAUUCCGUGCCAGCAGCCGCGGUAAUACGGAAGGUCCGGGCGUUAUCCGGAUUUAUUGGGUUUAAAGGGAGCGUAGGCCGGAGAUUAAGCGUGUUGUGAAAUGUAGACGCUCAACGUCUGCACUGCAGCGCGAACUGGUUUCCUUGAGUACGCACAAAGUGGGCGGAAUUCGUGGUGUAGCGGUGAAAUGCUUAGAUAUCACGAAGAACUCCGAUUG